rnacentral:rRNA from 1 species
CCUACGGGAGGCAGCAGUGAGGAAUAUUGGUCAAUGGUCGGGAGACUGAACCAGCCAAGCAGCGUGAGGGAUGAAGGUACAGAGGAUCGUAAACCUCUUUUGUCAGGGAACAAAGGCGGGGACGCGUCCCCGGAUGAGUGUACCUGAAGAAAAGGCAUCGGCUAACUCAGUGCCAGCAGCCGCGGUAAUACGGAGGAUGCGAGCGUUAUCCGGAUUUAUUGGGUUUAAAGGGGGCGCAGGGGGCUGGUUAAGUCAGCGGUAAAAGUCCGGGGCUCACCCCCGGACCGCCGUUGAAACUGGCAGUCUCGAGUUGGAGAGAAGUAUGCGGAAUGCGCGGUGUAGCGGUGAAAUGCAUAGAUAUCGCGCAGAACUCCGAUUGCGAAGGCAGCAUGCCGGCUCCACACUGACGCUGAGGCACGAAAGCGUGGGUAUCGAACAGGAUUAGAUACCCCUGUAGUC